CGGCGGACGGGUGAGUAACACGUGGAUAACCUACCUAUAAGACUGGGAUAACUUCGGGAAACCGGAGCUAAUACCGGAUAAUAUAUUGAACCGCAUGGUUCAAUAGUGAAAGACGGUUUUGCUGUCACUUAUAGAUGGAUCCGCGCCGCAUUAGCUAGUUGGUAAGGUAACGGCUUACCAAGGCAACGAUGCGUAGCCUACCUGAGAGGGUGAUCGGCCACACUGGAACUGAGACACGGUCCAGACUCCUACGGGAGGCAGCAGCC
rnacentral:rRNA from 1 species